AUUGAACGCUGGCGGCAUGCCUUACACAUGCAAGUCGAACGGCAGCACGGGAGCAAUCCUGGUGGCGAGUGGCGAACGGGUGAGUAAUAUAUCGGAACGUGCCCAGUCGUGGGGAUAACGUAGCGAAAGCUACGCUAAUACCGCAUACGAUCUACGGAUGAAAGCGGGGGAUCGCAAGACCUCGCGCGAUUGGAGCGGCCGAUAUCAGAUUAGGUAGUUGGUGAGGUAAAGGCUCACCAAGCCGACGAUCUGUAGCUGGUCUGAGAGGACGACCAGCCACACUGGGACUGAGACACGGUCCAGACUCCUACGGGAGGCAGCAGUGGGGAAUAUUGGACAAUGGGCGCAAGCCUGAUCCAGCCAUGCCGCGUGUGUGAAGAAGGCCUGGUUGUAAGCACUUUCUACGCGAGGAGGAAGGGUUAGGUAGUUAA
rnacentral:rRNA from 1 species